AUUGAACGCUGGCGGCAGGCCUAACACAUGCAAGUCGAGCGAGCGGCGGACGGGUGAGUAAUGUAUGGGGAUCUGCCCGAUAGAGGGGGAUAACUACUGGAAACGGUGGCUAAUACCGCAUACCAUCGGAUGUGCCCAGAUGGGAUUAGCUAGUAGGUGGGGUAACGGCUCACCUAGGCGACGAUCCCUAGCUGGUCUGAGAGGAUGACCAGCCACACUGGAACUGAGACACGGUCCAGACUCCUACGGGAGGCAGCAGUGGGGAAUAUUGCGCAAUGGGGGCAACCCUGACGCAGCCAUGCCGCGUGAAUGAAGAAGGCCUUCGGGUUGUAAAGUUCUUUCGGUAGCGAGGCGUUAACUACAGAAGAAGCACCGGCUAACUCCGUGCCAGCAGCCGCGGUAAUAC
rnacentral:rRNA from 1 species